rnacentral:tRNA from 1 species
GGGCAGGUAGCUCAAGGGUAGAGCGGAUGGCAAGAUCCUUAGAUCGCGUGAUUUACCCCUUGCCUGAAAAGGCUGAAGAAUUGAGGGUUAUCGACUUUUAAACCAUAGUGAUGCAGGUUCGAGUCCUGCCCUGCCCC